rnacentral:rRNA from 1 species
UUCCUACGGGAGGCAGCAGUCGGGAAUAUUGCGCAAUGGAGGAAACUCUGACGCAGUGACGCCGCGUAUAGGACGAAGGUCUUCGGAUUGUAAACUAUUGUCGUUAGGGAAGAGAAAGGACAGUACCUAAGGAGGAAGCUCCGGCUAACUACGUGCCAGCAGCCGCGGUAAUACGUAGGGAGCAAGCGUUAUCCGGAAUGAUUGGGCGUAAAGGGUGCGCAGGCGGUCCUGCAAGUCUGGAGUGAAACGCAUGAGCUCAACUCAUGCAUGGCUUUGGAAACUGGAGGACUGGAGAGCAGGAGAGG